GGAGAAAGAAAUUCGUACAUCUAGGAGCUAUAGAACUAGUACCGCAAGGGAAAGAUGAAAGACUAAUUAAAAGUAAGAACAAGCAAAGAUUAAACCUUGUACCUUUUGCAUAAUGAACUAACUAGAAAACUUCUAACUAAAAGAAUUACAGCUAGAAACCCCGAAACCAAACGAGCUACCUAAAAACAAUUUUAUGAAUCAACUCGUCUAUGUGGCAAAAUAGUGAGAAGAUUUUUAGGUAGAGGUGAAAAGCCUAACGAGCUUGGUGAUAGCUGGUUACCCAAAAAAUGAAUUUAAGUUCAAUUUUAAACUUGCUAAAAAAACAACAAAAUCAAAAAGUAAGUUUAGAUUAUAGCCAAAAGAGGGACAGCUCUUCUGGAACGGAAAAAACCUUUAAUAGUGAAUAAUUAACAAAACAGCUUUUAACCAUUGUAGGCCUAAAAGCAGCCACCAAUAAAGAAAGCGUUCAAGCUCAACAUAAAAUUUCAAUUAAUUCCAUAAUUUACACCAACUUCCUAAACUUAAAAUUGGGUUAAUCUAUAACUUUAUAGAUGCAACACUGUUAGUAUGAGUAACAAGAAUUCCAAUUCUCCAGGCAUACGCGUAUAACAACUCGGAUAACCAUUGUUAGUUAAUCAGACUAUAGGCAACAAUCACACUAUAAAUAAUCCACCUAUAACUUCUCUGUUAACCCAACACCGGAAUGCCUAAAGGAAAGAUCCAAAAAGAUAAAAGGAACUCGGCAAACAAGAACCCCGCCUGUUUACCAAAAACAUCACCUCUAGCAUUACAAGUAUUAGAGGCACUGCCUGCCCAGUGACUAAAGUUUAACGGCCGCGGUAUCCUGACCGUGCAAAGGUAGCAUAAUCACUUGUUCCUUAAUUAGGGACUAGCAUGAACGGCUAAACGAGGGUCCAACUGUCUCUUAUCUUUAAUCAGUGAAAUUGACCUUUCAGUGAAGAGGCUGAAAUAUAAUAAUAAGACGAGAAGACCCUAUGGAGCUUAAAUUAUAUAACUUAUCUAUUUAAUUUAUUAAACCUAAUGGCCCAAAAACUAUAGUAUAAGUUUGAAAUUUCGGUUGGGGUGACCUCGGAGAAUAAAAAAUCCUCCGAAUGAUUAUAACCUAGACUUACAAGUCAAAGUAAAAUCAACAUAUCUUAUUGACCCAGAUAUAUUUUGAUCAACGGACCAAGUUACCCUAGGGAUAACAGCGCAAUCCUAUUUAAGAGUUCAUAUCGACAAUUAGGGUUUACGACCUCGAUGUUGGAUCAGGACAUCCCAAUGGUGUAGAAGCUAUUAAUGGUUCGUUUGUUCAACGAUUAAAGUCCUACGUGAUCUGAGUUCAGACCGGAGCAAUCCAGGUCGGUUUCUAUCUAUUUACGAUUUCUCCCA
rnacentral:rRNA from 1 species